CUCCUUUGACGUUAGCGGCGGACGGGUGAGUAACACGUGGGUAACCUACCUAUAAGACUGGGAUAACUUCGGGAAACCGGAGCUAAUACCGGAUAAUAUUUCGAACCGCAUGGUUCGAUAGUGAAAGGUGGUUUUGCUAUCACUUAUAGAUGGACCCGCGCCGUAUUAGCUAGUUGGUAAGGUAACGGCUUACCAAGGCGACGAUACGUAGCCGACCUGAGAGGGUGAUCGGCCACACUGUAACUGAGACACGGUCCAGACUCCUACGGGAGGCAGCAGAA
rnacentral:rRNA from 1 species